GACGAACGCUGGCGGCGUGCCUAAUACAGGCAAGUCGAACGCUGAAGAGAGGAGCUUACUCUUCUUGGAUGAGUUGCGAACGGGUGAGUAACGCGUAGGUAACCGGCCUUGUAGCGGGGGAUAACUAUUGGAAACGAUAGCUAAUACCGCAUAACAAUGGAUGACACAUGUCAUUUAUUUGAAAGGGGCAAUUGCUCCACUACAAGAUGGACUUGCGUUGUAUUAGCUAGUAGGUGAGGUAAUGGCUCACCUAGGCGACGAUACAUAGCCGACCUGAGAGGGUGAUCGGCCACACUGGGACUGAGACACGGCCCAGACUCCUACGGGAGGCAGCAGUAGGGAAUCUUCGGCAAUGGGGGCAACCCUGACCGAGCAACGCCGCGUGAGUGAAGAAGGUUUUCGGAUCGUAAAGCUCUGUUGUAAGUCAAGAACGGGUGUGAGAGUGGAAAGUUCACACUGUGACGGUAGCUUACCAGAAAGGGACGGCUAACUACGUG
rnacentral:rRNA from 1 species